rnacentral:rRNA from 1 species
UACGGGGGGAGCAAGCGUUGUUCGGAUUUACUGGGCGUAAAGGGCGCGUAGGCGGUCAGCACAAGUCAGUUGUGAAAUCUCCGGGCUUAACUCGGAAAGGUCAACUGAUACUGUGCGACUAGAGUGCGGAAGGGGCAACUGGAAUUCUCGGUGUAGCGGUGAAAUGCGCAGAUAUCAGGAAGAACACCCGUGGCGAAGGCGGCUCUCUGGGACGGUACUGACGCUGAGACGCGAAAGCGUGGGGAGCGAACAGG